AUUGCUUUUUAGGGCCACACCUGCGGCAUGUGGAAGUUCCCAGGCUAGGGGUCAAAUUGGAGCUACAGCUGCAGGCCCAUGUCACAGCCAGAGCAAUGCAGGAUCUGAGCCACGACCACAGCUCAUGGCAAUGCCAGAUCCUUGACCUACUGAGUGAGGCCAGGGAUCGAAUCCACAUCCUCAUGGAUCCUAGUUAGUUUGCUUAGAACAGUGUCUAGCAUAUAGUACAUAUUCAGUAAGUUCAGGCCACUAAAAUAUAAUGUGGCAAUUAUUAGUAGUAUUCCUAAUUAAUAAGCAUAAGAAUUUAGGUUUUAAAAUAUGAUCUUUUAACUCCACACUAAAGUCUUUUUUCAUUACAGAACAGUUGUCUCAGAUUAUUUCAUUAUUUCCCCAAAGUCAUUUAGGUGUCAUAUGGCAUCACAGAAACACAUAGCUGAAUAAAAUUUGUAUUAUAUAGUAUAGAAACAUAACUAAUUUAGUGCUAAAAUACUAAGCAGCUACUUAAAAAUUAAACACUAAAUUACAUAGUAUUUUUCCUCACCCUUACAUGUAGUAAAAUUCACCCUCAAGUGUAUAGUUCUGAGUUUUGACAAACACAAGCAGUCAUGUGACUACUAUGUAGAAUAAUUCUUAGAGAUCAUUUUUGGGCAGAAUCGUAUUUGAAAAUUCUAGAAGGAAUUUUUCUAACAUUAGAAGCCAAUGUAAAUGCUUUUCCUUGAUUAAGGGACUUGAAAGAUACUUGAAAUUUGAUAGUGAUUUUCAUUCAUUUAUUCAUUGAGUCAAGAAGUAUUUACUAAGUUCUUCCUACAUGUAUGGUAUUGUGUUGUUGUUUAUAAAGAUGAAGAAAUGUCUCUAAGUUUCCUACCUUGAAAAGAAUAUAAUAGUUUUGCUUUACACUUCUACCUAAUAGAUAAGUCAGGAUAGAGAAAUAAUAGGGCUUUUCAUAAAUCCACUUUAAAACGAGUGCAUGAAAAGAAGGAUGACAAACUGUCAGUUCUUCCCUAAUUAGCAUGUAUUAAAACAAUAAUAUCCUCUCUCCCUAUAAGACCUAAAACUCAGUUUAGGUUCUCAAAUAUUUGUUGUAGACAGCCCAUCACUGGGUAGAUACAGUCCUUGUCCUCAUGCAGUCUGUAGCAUUAUAGAGCAGAUAAUUAUAAUACAAGGCAGAAAAUGAUCAAAGGAACAAAAUGAUAUGUAUUCAGAAAGAGGUGGGAAUGUUGAGGUGAGAGAAUCAGUAAAGACUUUAUCAUAGAAUAUGUAUAAUUCAUUACGAUUAUUAUAAUUGAGCAAAAAGCUCUGAGAUCAUAACAAAAGUCAGGGUAUUUCUAAACUAAAAUGUAUCAGUAUAACUAUAUGCCUAAUAGGUAUCUGCAUUGUUUCCUAUAUUCCUUUACCUAUUUACUUAAGAAGUUACAUCAUUUACUAUUCUAAUUUUUUUUUAAUGUUUCCAUUAAUUCGGGUAGACUCUGAGUUACUGAAGGGAAACUUCUGCAUCUUAUUCUUUGACUUUCCAGAUUCUCUCUCAGUGUCUGAGGCUAAGUUUGGUAUUCCUUAAACAUUUUCUUUAUAUGAAUACAUGAAUAAAUAAAUGAAUGGAAUAUAAAAUUAAAAAAAAAAAAGACUAUCACAGAGGUAGUAUUCAAACAGGGUCUUGAAAAAGAGGUGGAAUUUUGACAAAAGCUAUGGAUAGAGGGAGGAGAAAAGUUUAGUAUGCUAUAAAGCUGCCGCACUGUCCAAUAUGGUAGUCACUGGCUACAGCUGGCUAUUUAAAUUCGAAUUCAAAUUAAAUAAAAAUAAAAAUACAGCUUCUCAGUCAUACUAGUCACAUUUCAAAUGCUUAAUAGCCACAUGUGGCUAGUGGCUACCAUACUGAACAGAACAGUAGAAUAUUUCCAUCAUAACAGAAAGUCCUAUUGGACAGUGUUUCUAUAGAAGGAACAGCAGUGAAAGGUCAGGAGGUGGAAACAAUGAAUUAUCCAAAUCCCUGUUCAAACCCUUGGACAAAAUACCAGAAAUAAUGGUAUAUCCCUGUAUUUCUCCUCAAAUAUAAAUUGGAAAUUUUAUAUGCCUAUGUAAAGAUCAAUGACUCAAUUGUUUCGCUGGCUGGUCUGGUUCAAUUGUCAUGCUGAGUUCAUACUAUAAAUCAAUAAUGAAGACAUAAAACCUAACAGGCCUAUCUAAUUGCUCCAUCUAUCUGAGCAUGCAGAUCACAGUGGCUGAAAGCCAGGCCCUAGGGCCCAGCCAAGUGUGGGUGCUGCUGUUUCUUCUGGCAGGGGCCUGUUAGCUGACUGGGUCCAAGCUGAAUGGCUUGGGCCUGUCACAGUUGCAGUUCCCUAAGAACAUGCUCAUUAGUAAAUCAUUUGCUGCUUUGGAACUAGUAGCAGAAUCUAUUGCAAAACCUAAAGGCAAGCAAAGGUUUGAGGAAACCACAACCCAGAGGAACAAGUCCUGUUGUAUGAACAUGGAUGAAAUGAGCCAGGUUAGACGGCAGUCACUGAUAAAUUUAUGAAGGUGCAGACUUCAGCCUUUUGAUAAGAGUUGCUGUGAGCUCUGAGAGAAGGGUGGUUUAGCCAAAGUUGAGGUGGAGUUUUUAUAGAUCUGCCAGGUCCUCACUUGUCUGGGGUCUAAAUGGACAGAAGUGUGUAGGGACAGGAAUCCGUGUAUCAAGGCUUUCUAAAUCAAUGAGAGUCUAAAAUGUGUGUUUUCAUUAGUAAAGAAAAAAAAAAAGCCUAGAAAAUCAAUCAUCUGCACAAAUCAAAGGCAGCUGCAAAUACACUGAAUCCGUACUUUUUGGUUAUGUGUUUUCUCUUAAUUUUAUAUCCAAUCAUUGCUUACAACUGGACUUUGAUUCCUUUAAAAUAUUUUUCAGUAAUACUUAAAUUUUAAUGUACAUAUUUCUGAGGAGGUUCGGUUUUUUGGGGGUGGGGGUAUCAUUAGGCAUUUUAUUUACAUGCUUAUUGGACAACAGGUCAUUGUCUUCUCUUAAAAGGGCUCAAGAGUACCAGAAAAAAGGAGGUGAAAAAAACCCCGUGUGAUACUAAAUUUAAAUAAUUACUUUUCAAAAGUAAGAUAUAGUAUACAUCCUGGGUAUAAAUGCACUUACUUUGUUUUUCUUUUUUUCUUUUCUAGGGCCGCUUCCCACGGCAUAGUUCCCAGGCUAGGGGUCUAAUUGGAGCUGUAGACCCUGGCCUACGCCAGAGCCACAGCAACGCGGGAU
rnacentral:lncRNA from 1 species